rnacentral:rRNA from 1 species
GACGAAGGGGGCUAGCGUUGUUCGGAAUUACUGGGCGUAAAGCGAGUGUAGGUGGUUGUCCAAGUUGGAUGUGAAAGCCUUGAGCUCAACUCAAGAAAUGCAUUCAGGACUGGGCGGCUAGAGGACCGGAGAGGAUAGUGGAAUUCCCAGUGUAGUGGUGAAAUACGUAGAGAUUGGGAAGAACACCAGUGGCGGAAGGCGGAGCUAUCCUGGACGGUUUCUGG